AGCCGAGGAGGUGGAUUUUACAGGCAGAGACAGCCGAAGGAAGCAGAAACCAAAGAAGGAGGAGCAGGUCAUUCAUUUCAGAAUCACUUUCCUGGGAUCCAUCUUGUCAGAAUGGGACAGGGGGCAAGAGUCCCAGUCCCACACCCACGGGCGCAGGACCCAGGAGGGGAUGUGACAGAUGUCCUGCGCCUUCACAUGAGCUAUGCCAGCUUAGUCCUGCAGCCGUCCCUGUCCCUGGGAAGCUGGCGAGACACCGGCAAGGCUGCCAGAGAGACCAGAGGUGAGGGCCCGGCUCCUCUACACCGAGGAGGAUUCUCCCCUCCGUCCUCACAGCAGCCCCAGGGGUGGCGAAAAUGACACCCGCACACAGACCAGCAGGAGCACAUUCUGUAAAGUCAUUAAAUGUGGCCAAGGGCCCUGCCUCACCAGAAAACCUCCAUCCCCCGAAGUUCCACAUUGUCAAGAGACUCAGGAGCCAAGGACACCAAGGUCGCAGUCCCUCAGCAGGCCUGAGAGAGCUCCUGUCCCUCUGUCUCCCGAGGGACGCUGUGCUCCCCAGCCCGACACGCGCUGGCUUUCAGCUCCAAAGGGAGAGGGCCAGCAAGACCGAAGGGGACAAGGAAGAGGGCGCCAGGCUUCUAUUAAAACAGCACGGACAAGGCCGGGGCUCCUCCCGGGGGGUCAGGAAGAACGAGGGUGCUACCUCCAGCUAGAACUGGGGACCCCACACCCCAGUUCUCAGUCCACCUGUGUACAGAUGGAUCAACAAAGUCCAGUACCACUUCUGCCAACCUUCCCGCAACCCCCCGGUGGCACACCAGGCUUGGUUUGCCAGGCAGCAGACCCCCGAGAACUUUGGGCAUGAGCCCUGGACAUGUGCACUUCAAAAGAGGUCGCUGUCCCUGGAAAGGAGCUCAGAGGACAUUUGAAAACAUGCAAGUGGCUGUUGAUUUGGACAGACACGGUGCUGUGUGUACCCAGAAUGCACCACAGAGGCCUGGGGAGUGUUCAAGGCAUGAACUUGAAGCGGCUGUGUCCACAGAGUGGAUCAGACCACAAGCUCAUCCUCCACAAGGCUCAGCAGCACCAGCCUCGGAAAGGUCAGAUCACCAAGGGGAGUCUCCGUUUACGUUGGGAAAACCAAACCCACAGAUGGAGCAGUGUGUCCCACUCCACGUGGGCACUGCCGGUGAUGAGGCUCAGACUCCAGCCCCUGCAGAAUGGAACCUGUGACCUCCUGAACGGUCUGUCUUCCCAACUCCUGCCCCAGCCUGGGCCCCAUGGGGACACCUGUGUGAAUGGUGUGGCAGGGAGACGGGCAGAGCCAUGGGUCGGUCCUACCUCCCCAAAACUUUGGAAGUCACCAUUGUACUUGUAA
rnacentral:lncRNA from 1 species